AAAAAAUAAUUGUCAUCACAAAAUAAACAAGCUUGUAAGCUAAAGUCAGCCAUAAAAAGAAUUUACUUUUGCAUCUCUCGUAUUUGUAACAAGCAUCAGAAUAAAUGUGCCAUUUAUUCCAAUACUUCAAAACACUUAUUAGAUAAGUUAUCUGACAUGGUCAAUAAUUGACUUUUUCUUGGUUAUAAUUCAACUGUUCAAGUGGCAAAGCAUUUAAUAAUCGCAGAAAUGAUUCAAAAAUCAUUUUUUAUAUUCUAUAUAAUUAGCCUUAAUUUGAUGGCAUCAUAUAUUUUUGCAAGUGAUCAUUGCCUACCACAGUUUUAUGAGUGUGAUCCCCAUUCUACACAAUCUUGCUGUGAACCCUACCAGUGUUUGCCGAGGCGUACUAGAGUCAUACAGUGGUUAGAUAAACAACGCUUCUGCGCAAAGAACGUUACACUAGGCAGUCCAUGUAAUAAAUUUAUGGAUUGUUUACCGAUAGCUUAUGCUAAAUGUUCAGAAAAUAAUACAUGUGUUUGUCAAUUUGAUUCUUAUGAAUAUAACAACACGAUUUGUUUGGCGAAAAACAUAUUGCUACCAUUAAAAUCAGAGCUCAGUAUUUAUUAUCACAAAACUACUGAUCGGAAAUAUCGCCUAAACGAUGAUUUCCCAUCGCAUUCUGGUCUUCGUAGAGAAUCAAAUACAAAAUGGGGCGAUCGGUGCACUAUGUGUUCGGAUAUCGAAUUCGACGGUCUUAUUUGUGACGAUGCAACUCAGGAGGACUUAAGGGAUGACUUCGAGUUCCAAGAAUGUAGAUGCCCGAGGGGAACAAAGCUCAAUUCAAGCAGUUUAUCUUGUGACGAACCAGAAUUUAAUGAUUGCUCCAUUGAUGGAGAUUGUAGCCACCUUAGUUACGCUUCAUGUUCUGGUGGUAAAUGUAGUUGUUUACAAAAUUAUCAUUCCAUAAAUGGACGGUGUUUGGGAAAUCUUGGCGCAAAGUGUAGCCACGAUAUCGACUGCCGUAUUCUUUAUGCAGUUUGUAAAUCAAGCAGCUGUCAAUGUGAUUAUGACUAUUACGAAAAAGAUGGUUCAUGCAUAAAGUACGCGACAGAAAUCGAAGGAUAUUGCCGCACUAACAAGAGUUGUGAGCUCCUCGAUCAUACUUCAUGUUCUAGAAACAAAUGUCGUUGCUUACCAAGUUAUGAAAAUGUCAACGGAAGUUGCCGAAAACAUAGCCAAAGGGAACAUAACACUGACCCAGAACUUGCUGUUAGGAAACACACUUGUCAAGUAGACUACUAUUAUGAAAAAUAUUACUGCCGUGCGUACGCGAAACGACUGAAUGAUGAAUGCUUUAGCGAGAAAGCUUGUGAACGCCUAAAUCUUACCUCAUGUCUUCAUGGUCGAUGUAACUGUUCCAAGUUUAAUAUCAUUUGCAAGGUGUUAAACGCAUGGAGUUAUUUUGUUUAAUUAUGCAGAUCUCUCCAGUCCAACUGAAGCCAGGAGCAGUGAGCAGUUUUUCUGCAUAAAAAUCAUUUCCAUUACCAUUGUCUGCCCCUACAUUUUUUCUAGACUUUAUGUGUACAAGCGCAAGAAUUAUCAACAAAUCCAUUAUAUUAUUCUGAUACUUAAUGAUCGUUGUAUCAGUUUGAGUAUUAUUAGUAAAUAUUUAUCACAAUCACAAUUAUUAAUAAGUUGGUAUGUUUACAAUUUUUUAUAUGCUAACUUCGUUUCAAAAAAUGUUUAGUGUUUUCGUCUACAUUAUAGUACUAACGUUAGGAUAGCGGCUACUUGGACUAUAAUAGUUUAAAAAAUAUAUGUUGGCCUUUAAUCGAAUAAAACAAUAACAAUUAACUUGUUCUCAAUAUUGUUAUAUUUUAUUAUUGAUUUAAACGACUGUCGGAACUGUACACGGAAAGAAAAUUGUGGAAACAGUCCCCAUAAUUCUAUAAAAAUUUUACCUAUACCAACAUAGGAAUUAUGACCAUAAAUUAUGGGAGCAGUUUCUAUAAUUAUGGGAAUGUUUCCCAUAAUUAUAGGAACAGUUCCUAUAAUUAUGGAAAUGCUACCCAUAACAUUAUAGGAAUCGUUCCUAUAAUUAUAGGAAGGGUUCCUAUAAUUAUAGGAAGGGUUCCUAUAAUUUAUAGGAACUGUUCCUAUAAUACUAUGGGACUCAUUCCCAGAAUAUAUAGGAAUGAACCUAACAUUUUAUAGGAAUCAUUCCCAUAAAUUAUAGCAAUCAUUCUCAUAAUAUUAUAGGAAUGAUUCCCAUAAUAUUAUAGGAAUGUUUCCUACAGUAGUAUGGAAACUAUUCCUAUACUUUAUGGGAAUCAUUUCCAUAAUACUAUAGGAACAGUUCCCAUACUAUUAGAAAAACCAUUUCUAUAAUAUUUUAAGAAUGGUUCCCACACAAUCAUGAAAAAUUUAAUUGGAAGAAAAGUGUAGUAAUCACUUCUACAAUCCACAGAAAUUUUAUUAAAUAUAAAAACAAAAAUUCAAACAUUGAAUUGAGAAAUUCAUACUUGGCAAAAACAUUAAAAUUUUUAACAAAAAAUUUAUUAGAUCAACGGUGCCUCGAGAUUUAUCGUAUUUACGAAGUUUUAUAUACGAAAAUUGACAAGUCAGGUCUCUGGGAUUAAAAAUAAUGUUUUAUCAUUUCGAGGUCGAAAGUUCGAUUACUUUUCCUGGUUUGCGGGAAAAAAGAGACACAUUUCUGCCCGCUCUUGGUUACUGUUACUUGAGAGUACAUAUGUAUGUAACUUCUUUUAUAUAAUUUAUCCAUGGUUACUAUCGGUUACUAGAAUAACUUAACAACAGUUUGUCAACAUCGUUAUAUUCAAAUAAAAAAAAUUUUAGAUUUUCAUCACGUUGAUUACUUAAUAAUUUUAAAUAAUAUACAAAUAAUAAAGGAUAAAUAAAAUAUAAAAAAUAUAUAAGCCAGUGUAAAAAAUAUCAUACAUAAACAAAUGUGAGAACAAUAUAACUGUAUAUAAUUAAACGUAAAUUGCAAAAAAAAAAAAACGUAAUUGAGUUGAAGUCAAAAAUUGAAAAAUGAGUUCAUCCGAAGAUUCGUCUGAUGAAGUUGUCAGGCGAGACAUUGAGGGGGAAGAGAAAGAAAUUCUUCAAAAUUUACUACGCAAAAAGUCCAGUGAUCGGUAUAAAGUCUUUCAUAAUCAGUUUUAACAAUGGAGAAUUUCAAAUAAAAUUGAUAAAUUUACGGAAGACGCGUUUCUUGUUUAUUUUAAUUAUUUGAAAACAAUUUGAAACCCAGUACGUUGUGAAGUCAAUGGUCAAUGUUGAAACCAUGAUAAAUAUUCAUCAUAACAUUAAUAUCAACAACCACCUAAAACUCAAACAUUUAAUGAAAAUUAAGUCAAAAGGAUUUUGUUCAAACAAAGCCAAAGUCUUCUCGUGGCGCCAAAUUAAAAAAUUUAUGAAUGAAUCACCAGAUUUCAUCUAUUUAGCGAUGUUAUUCUAAUUUUCGGUACAUGUGGAGCGUUAAGACGUGGAAAAUUUUUUAAUAUUACAAUCCAAAACAUUGAAGAUACUGGUACUCAAUAUAUCGUUUCUAUUCAAAAUACGAAAAACUGUUACCCCCGGACCUUUGUAAUUGGAGCGGAACAUUAUGGUAAAGUUCAUUAGUACCAAGUUCUUAGACCUGAAAAUGCCAACACAAACAGGUUUUUUUUGUAAAACUACCGAGGUAAAUGUACGUGCAAGGUAAUGAGAAAAAAUAAAACUAGUGAAGUAUUGAAAACCGUGGCGACGUACUUAAAUUUACCAGAGCCUGCAAGGUAUACAGAUCACAGUUUCCGACGCACUUCUGCAACUUUAUUGGCCGAUUCUGGAACUUUUUGACAACAAUUUAGCUACACGGAGGCUGGAGAUCAGGCGCUGUCGUGACUGGAUAUAUAAGAAGUUUUUAAGGUUACAAGGAAUGAAUUUUUAAUAGAAUAAUCAAUUCAGUUCAACCAUCUACAUCGGAAGGAUCAUUAAUAUUAAGAUUAACUGACACAAUAAUAUCGACCACUUAAACAGCACCAAAUCAUCAAGAAUUACAACUCAUGCAACACCAAACCAUUAAUACCCAUAACUCACACAACAACACCAAUAACAUCAACUUCAACACUUCAUAAUCAUUUGAGCAACCGGAUUCCAUUUUCCGAUAAUGAAUUUGCAAUCGAUUAUUUAGAUCACAAUGAUUAUUCUCGAUUGGUCUCACACAAACCGUUAACAUCAAGAUCAACUCCAAAAUCAGGAUCCACUUCAUCUAAUAAUCGACCUGAUACUGUUCUAUCAGAUGCCAAGCGACGAAAAAAAAUUUAUUUGAAAAAAGAUGACAUCCAAAAUAUACUGAAAUCAGUUGCAGAUAAUUCAAAUGUAAAAUUCGAAAAUUGUACAUUUGAUAUUAAUUUUCAUUUUCAUGAGGAUAAAGAAAAUCAUAUUAGCUAAUUAGUAAUUACUAAUCACACUGUUAAUUUAAUUGUUUCUGACAUUUCAUGUUCUGUGAGUUUUACUUUACAUAUUACUGAUGUUGUUAUCAA